AGCAGCCGCGGUAAUUCCAGCUCCAAUAGCGUAUAUUAAAGUUGUUGCAGUUAAAAAGCUCGUAGUUGAAUUUCGGGAUUGACACAUCGGUCGUGCCUUAAGGGGUAUGAACUGGUGUAGUCAAUUUCUCACCUUCUGGAGAACCGCAAUGCCCUUAAUUGGGUGUCGCGGGGAACCAGGACCUUUACUUUGAAAAAUUAGAGUGUUUAAAGCGGGCAUUUUGCUUGAAUACAUUAGCAUGGAAUAAUAAAAUAGGACGGAUGAUUCUAUUUUGUGGUUUCUAGGACCACCGUAAUGAUUAAUAGGGAUAGUUGGGGGCAUUAGUAUUCAAUUGUCAGAGGUGAAAUUCUUGGAUUUAUUGAAGACUAACUACUGCGAAAGCAUUUGCCAAGGAUGUUUUCAUUAAUCAAGAACGAAAGUUAGGGGAUCGAAGACGAUCAGAUACCGUCGUAGUCUUAACCAUAAACUAUGCCGACUAGGAAUCAGACGAUGUUAAUUUUUUAAUGUAACUCG
rnacentral:rRNA from 1 species